GCCCUUGUAGCUCAGUAGGUAGAGCAACUUCGCCUAGGGCGUUGUAUGUCGCCGGUUCGAGCCCGGCCAAGGGCU
rnacentral:tRNA from 1 species